CCACACCUCGGCAUCAUGGAAGUUCCCAGGCCAAGGGUCAAAAGAGAACUACAAUGGCCAGCCUGUGCCACAGCAAUGCUGGAUCUGAGCCGCAUCUGCCACCUACAUGCGGGAGCUUAAGGCAGUGAUCCUUAACCCACUGAGUGAGGCCAGGGAUUAAACCCACAUCGUCACGGACUCUAUGUCGUGUUCUUAACUCGAUGAGCCACAACGGGAACUCCAGAACUCCUGAAUUUUAAAUUUACUACAUUCUAAAGCUACAAAUCAUGUAUCACACUUUAAGCAUCCACAUCCAAACAACUCACCCUCCAUCUUGAUCCAGUUUCCCCUCUCUACCUGCACUACCAGGUGUUCCCAUUUCAUUAUUUAUCUCCCUCUUUCUUUCCCUAUAUCUCCUUCUUUUUGUUUUUGUUUUGUUGUUGCCGGCUUUUUGUGGUUUGUUUGUCUGCUUCUUAGGGCUGAACCUGUAGCAUAUGCAAGUUUCCAGGCUAGGGAUUCAACUGGAACUGCAGCUGCCAGACUACACCUCAGCCGUAGCAACAUGGAUUGCAGCCACAUCUUCGACCUACACCACAGCUCAUGGCAAUGCUAAAUUCUUAACCCAGUGGGCGAGGCCAGGGAUUGAACCCACAUCCUCAUGGAUAUUAGUUGUGUUCCCUAACCCACUGAGCUACAAGAGGAACUCCCUGAGAACUCCCGUUUUUUUUUAUUUUAUGGCCCAAAACAUGGCAUGUGGAAGUUCCCAGGGCCUGGAAACUGGGAACUGGAGCCACAGCAAGACCAAUGUGCCCUGGGCUGUGGAUCAAACCCACACCUCUUCAGUGACCCAAGCCACUGCGCCCUACUAUUCUCAUGGUGCACCUGCCAGCAACCUAUUUCUUUCUUCUUCUUCUUUUUUUUUUUUUAGGGCUGCACCUGCGGCAUAUGGAGGGUCCCAGGCUAGGGGUGGAAUCAGAACUGUAGCUGCCAGCCUACACCAGACACAGUAACGCAGGAUCCGAGGCGCGUCUGUGACCUACACCACAGCUCAUGGCAACGUCAGAUCCUUAACCCACUGAGCAAGGCCAGGGAUGGAAUCCAUGUCCUCAUGGAUCCUAGUCAGGGGUUUGUUAACCACUGAGCCACGAUGGAAACUCCUGGCCUCCUAUUUCUUCUCUUUCUUUUUUGUCUUUUUAGGGCCACAUCCGAGGCACAUGGAGGUUGAAUUGGAGCUGUAGCCGCUGGUCUACACCACAGCCGCAACAACACCAGAUCCCAGCCACGUCUGUGACCUACACAGACUACAGAGACCACAGCUCACGGCAAUGCCGGAUCCUUAACCCACCUAGGGAGGCCAGGGGUCGAACCUGCGCUGGCAUGGAUUCUAGUCAGAUUCGUUUCUGCUGAGCCAGGAGGAGAACUCCCUGGCCUCCUGUUUCUUAUCUCUCAUCCAUCCUGCCCUACUCUGCAAGUAGACUCCCCACUUGUUCUUCCCCCAGCCUUUCUAAUUGUCUUAAAUAUCCAUAUAGUUCUGCCCCCUUCACACAACUCUACACUCUCUCUGUCCCCAGGGUUACACCACCCACCCCUUCUGUCCCUGUUACACUCCCUCCCCCACUCCCUGGCACCCCAAGUGGCUCUGCUUUCUUCCUGCUCUGUCUCUUCCUCUGCUAGUCACAAGUUGUCAUCUGUUUCUCUCCCAGAACAAGGAGACUCUGAAUUUCCUGUAGUUCCCACUGUUUAUUACCCUCCACCUCCGCCGCUCUCCCUGCUAAGUGCCUCAACACAGCCGCCACCCCUCCCAUCACUGCACUGCUACACUCUCCCAGUGUUGCUUUCCAACCCCUGAAGAUCCGGCUUUUUAUUACUUCUGGAGUACACGCACCUGCUAAUUUCAAGGCCUACUGUAUUUCAUUUGCUGCCUUAUAAAUCCCUUAGCCAUCCUCUACGUGUCCAUCCGUCCUAUCUUAUUAUUUUCUCCUCAACUUUUCUGUGUUUGGCUCAUCUUUUUUUUGGGCGGGGGGGGCGCCCACGGCAGGUUGAAGUUCCCUGGCCAGGGAUGGAACCAGAACCACAGCAGCGACGCGAACCGCUGCUGUGGGUCCUGACACCGAUGCGCCACAAUGUCAUUCCCAUGUCUCUGCCUCUCCUCAUGCCCCUCACACAAGUAUUUACAGGGAUGGAGACUAAAUAAGAUGCCCGCCAACCGGAAGAGAACAUAUUUCAUCCGGUGGACUUUGAGACGGAAGAACGCUGGGUGUCACACGGUGGACGAGGUCACCUCCCCCUACGCCGGGUGCGGGGAAGGGCUGACUACACACGUGAGGCCUGCGGGGCAGAAGGACCGGCCGGAGGGGCCGCGAGGACAGAGGGGCUGCAGGGAGGGUGGUCUCAGGAGAGGGGGGCUCCCGAAUCCCAGCACCGGGGCGAGGACGCGGCCUCUCCGGGAGCGGGGCGGCCGGCGCUGCCUCCAGUUGGGGGAGCGAGGUGGGGGCGCGGGUCCUCCUCGGGGAAGAGCACUUUACAUGGCGGGGCGGAGGCAGGAAAGGAAUCUAAGCAGGAAAACGCCGCCAAAGGCUGCGUCUACGUGUACUGAAGGCAGAAAAGCCGGGGGCUCCAGGAUCAGGCACAGAGCGAUUUCGAACUCUAAGGAAAACAAACCCGACCUAUAACGGCGACGUAUUGACUAACUUGGGACGGAGGGCCGGGUGCUGGGAUUUUAGGGCCGUCGUGACCCCCACACCCAAAGGAUGGGGUUAGAGGGACGGCACAUCACAGAGUUACACUAUAAAGGAGAAACUUACUCUCAGCAGGGUGACCUUCACGCCGCGCUCUCCGCUUCCGCU
rnacentral:lncRNA from 1 species